GACGAACGCUGGCGGCGUGCCUAAUACAUGCAAGUAGAACGCAGUUGCGAAUGGGGGAGUAACGCGUAGGUAACUGCCUGGUAGCGGGGGAUAACUAUUGGAAACGAUAGCUAAUACCGCAUACUACCAGAUGGACCUGCGGUGUAUUAGCUAGUUGGUGAGGUAACGGCUCAACAAGGCAAUGAUACAUUGCCGAGCCGGGGAGGUGGUCGGCCACAAUGGGAACGGAGCACGGCCCAGGAUUCCACCGGGAGGAGGAGUAGGGGAACAUUGGAAAUGGGGGGAAACCUGACCGAGGAAAGGCGCGUGGGUGGAAGAAGUUUUCGGGGUGGAAAGCUCUGUUGUUCAGGAAGCGGUACUUAAACAGAAAGGGACGGCUAACUACGUGCCAGCAGCCGCGGUAAUUC
rnacentral:rRNA from 1 species